rnacentral:rRNA from 1 species
GAUGAACGCUGGCGGCGUGCUUAACACAUGCAAGUCGAACGGAAAGGCUCCUGCUUGCAGGGGUACUCGAGUGGCGAACGGGUGAGUAACACGUGGGUGAUCUGCCCUGCACUUCGGGAUAAGCCUGGGAAACUGGGUCUAAUACCGGAUAGGACCACAUGUUGGAUGGUGUGGUGGAGAGUUUUUCGGGGUGGGAUGAGCCGGGGGCCUAUCAGCUGGUUGGUGGGGAGAUGGCCUACAAAGGUGUCGACGGUGAGCCGCCCUGGGAGGGUGGACGGCCCCAUGGGGCUGGAGGAAGGGCCAGGCCCCAACCGGGAGGAAGAGGUGGGAAAUAUGGCAAAAGGGGCGCAGGCUGGAUGCAGCGACGCCGGGUGGGGGAUGACGGCUUUCGGGUGGUAAACUCCUUUCGCUAGGACCGAAGCGCAAGGGAGGUAACCGGGAGAAGAGGACCCGCUAAAUUAGGG